CUAAGGACACCCUUAACUGGAAUGUCCGAAAGGGAAACAGGUUUAUAUUCCUGUACCAUGGCGCUACAAAUAGCGGUAACGCAUGACUGUCUGCUAACAAAUCCGGGUAAGUGGAAUAGGGCCGUCGUAUAUCUCCCUAUUUAAAUGUAUUAAAGCUGGUAAAUAGUGUAAAACUUAGACCCAGCUCAAAUCAUGAAUAGCCAUCCAAUUGUGGAAGGUUCCGCUGAUCCCAGGUUUUAUUAAAAAGGCAACAGUAAGAAACGCCAUGAUCGUACCCAGAACCGACACUGGUUUCGACAGCACCGUCGAUCCGUCGAUAGGUGCCCCUAGGUGAGUAGCCUAAGGCGUAUUCGUGUAAAGGAGGCUAGGGAAAUCGACAAAUUAGAGCCGUAACUUUGGGAUAAGGCUUGCUUGGGAACUUCUUCACGCAGCUUCGGCAGUGUGCGGGGGUCCCCAAGUCGCAGUAACUAAGGGGGGACGACUGUUUAAUAAAAACAUAGGUCACUGAUAGAGCGAAAGCUUGUUUACAGUGGCUGAAACCUGGCCAGUGGCAGUUUGAUCAAUCCGGGUUACAACCCGAGUAAGUCCUGCUAAACGCCGGGAGUAACUAUAACUCUCUUAAGGUAGCCAAAUGCCUUGUCUGGUAAGUUCAGACGUGCAUGAAUGGUCCAACGUUCUCCCCAUUGUCCCAGCCUUCUGACGAUUGAAAUUACACUCCGGCGAACGGUCCGGAGAUACCUGGUGGGACGAGAAGACCCCGUGGAGUUUUACUGCAGCCUGUUGUGUUGCUGUGGUUUUGAGCUAGAUACAGAGUGUAGUCGGGAGCGUAGAUGCCGUAAUUUAGGUUACGGUGGAGCAACUUUGGAAUACCGGCUUUCUUUCUUGAGAUCACUAACGGUGUGAAAGCAUCGGACACCCGCAGGUGGGCAGUUUGGCUGGGGCGGCUCUCUCUAGAAAAGAUAUCUAGAGAAACCAAAGAUCAGCUCAGGCGGGUCAGGAAUCCGCUGAAGAGUUUAAGAGCAAAAGCUGGUCUGACUGGACUCUGACUACUAAGGAGUCCUGAGGCUAACGCCUGGUCUAGCGAUCCUUAACAUUGCUCGUGUGGCUUGUUGAGGUGAUAGAAAAAUUACCCCGGGGGUAACAGAGUUGUCACGAGUAAGAGUUCCUAUCGACCUCGUGGCUUGCUUCCUCGAUGUCGGCUCUUCCUAUCCUGGGAGCGCACAUAAUGCGAACCGAGUCGGUUUGCGUGCGCAUAACUCCCAAGGGUGGGGCUGUACGCCCAUUAAAAGGGAACGUGAGCUGGGUUUAGACCGACGUGAGUCAGGUCGGAUUCUAUCUACCAGGUAUGUGGGAUGACUGAGGGUAAGGGAAAAUCAGUACGAGAGGAACAUUUUGCCGGCGCCUCUGGUGUACCGGUUGUCUGACAAGGCAUCGCCGGGCAGCUACGCGCCAACUGAUAAGUGCUGAAAGCAUCUAAGCACGAAGCAG
rnacentral:rRNA from 1 species